rnacentral:rRNA from 1 species
UCUCUAUGCGGUGCCAGCAGCCGCGCUAAUACGGAGGAUGCGAGCGUUAUCCGGAUUUAUUGGGUUUAAAGGGUGCGUAGGCGGGUUAUCAAGUCAGCGGUAAAAUCGUGGAGCUCAACUCCAUCCAGCCGUUGAAACUGAUGAUCUUGAGUGGGCGAGAAGUAUGCGGAAUGCGUGGUGUAGCGGCGAAAUGCAUAGAUAUCACGCAGAACUCCGAUUGCGAAGGCAGCAUACCGGCGCCCGACUGACGCUGAAGCACGAAAGCGUGGGUAUCGAACAGGAUUAGAUACCCUGGUAGUCCGCGCAGUAAACGAUGAAUACUAAUUGUGUGCUCCGAAUGAGGAGUGCGUGAUACAGCGAAAGCGUUAAGUAUUCCACCUGGGGAGUACGCCGGCAACGGUGAAACUUAAAUGAAUU